GAAUAUUGGACAAUGGGCGAAAGCCUGAUCCAGCCAUGCCGCGUGUGUGAAGAAGGUCUUCGGAUUGUAAAGCACCUUAAGUUGGGAGGAAGGGCAGUAAGCGAAUACCUGGCUGCUUUGACGUAACCGACAGAAACAGCCCCGGCUAACUCUGGGCCAGCAGCCGCGGUAAUAUAGAGGGUGCAAGCGUGAAUCGGGAUUACUGGGCGUAAAGCGAGCGUAGGUGGGUCGUUAAGUUGGAUGUGAAAUCCCCGGGCUCAACCUGGGAACUGCAUCCAAAACUGGCGAGCUAGAGUAGGGCAGAGGGUGGUGGAAUUUCCUGUGUAGCGGUGAAAUGCGUAGAUAUAGGAAGGAACACCAGUGGCGAAGGCGACCACCUGGGCUCAUACUGACACUGAGGUGCGAAAGCGUGGGGAGCAAACAG
rnacentral:rRNA from 1 species